GGGUGGAUAGCUCAGUUGGUUAGAGCACUUGCUCGACACGCAAGAGGUCGUCCGUUCAAAUCGGACUCCACCCACCA
rnacentral:tRNA from 1 species